rnacentral:rRNA from 1 species
AGUGAACGCUGGCGGUAGGCCUAACACAUGCAAGUCGAACGGCAGCACAGUAAGAGCUUGCUCUUACGGGUGGCGGGUGGCGGACGGGUGAGGAAUACAUCGGAAUCUACUUUUUCGUGGGGGAUAACGUAGGGAAACUUACGCUAAUACCGCAUACGACCUACGGGUGAUAGCAGGGGAUCUUCGGACCUUGCGCGAUUGAAUGAGCCGAUGUCGGAUUAGCUAGUUGGCGGGGUAAAGGCCCACCAAGGCGACGAUCCGUAGCUGGUCUGAGAGGAUGAUCAGCCACACUGGAACUGAGACACGGUCCAGACUCCUACGGGAGGCAGCAGUGGGGAAUAUUGGACAAUGGGCGCAAGCCUGAUCCAGCCAUACCGCGUGGGUGAAGAAGGCCUUCGGGUUGUAAAGCCCUUUUGUUGGGAAAGAAAAGCAGCAGGUUAAUACCCCGCUGUUCUGACGGUACCCAAAGAAUAAGCACCGGCUAACUUCGUG